UUGAUCUCAAAUCAGGUAGGAGUACCCGCUGAACUUAAGCAUAUCAA
rnacentral:rRNA from 1 species